rnacentral:ncRNA from 1 species
GGCCCGCAACGCGUCUGGGGAGCCGACAGGCAAACUCGCUGACGUUGAUCAUACGUCUUUAUACAUGCUGCCCGGAUCGAUGGACCGGGACGGAGGC